AGUUCAAGGGAGAUCAGAAUCAUUCCUCUCUUUCGUAGAGAAAGUCGCUGCUUCUCUCAAGAAGCAGGUUGAGCAUGACGGGUUAAGGCAGAUGUUGUUAAGGCAGUUAGUGAGAGAUAACGCAAAUGAAGAGUGCAGAAAAGUCAUAGAUGCUUUGCCAGGGGAUCCUGAGGUAACAGACAUGGUCGAAGCCUGCUCUAAGGUGGGAUCUGGGAACCAGAAAAGGUCUGCUUUGGCUGCGUUUCUGCAGCCUGUUCACACAUCUUCUGAUUGUGAACCAAAGCAGCCCAAAUGCACGAAAAAAUAGAAACGGCCUAAGCCAAGACAAAAAGAGAACACAGCAAUCUCCCAGUGCAAGAGGUGUGGCAGACCAGGGCAUUGCACGGACUAUUGUAGAUCCCGGACUCAUGCCGAUGGUCGGCCGUUGUUGGGAAACUUCCGCUGGGGUGCAAGGAGGGGGAAUUGCUCUCCGAUGCAGUCGCUCCCCCAGAGAGUGGCACAGGUACAGGCACAGGCCUA